UGGUUCUGGCAUCGAUGAAGAACGCAGCGAAAUGCGAUAAGUAGUGUGAAUUGCAGAAUUCAGUGAAUCAUCGAAUCUUUGAACGCACAUUGCGCCCCUUGGUAUUCCAUGGGGCAUGCCUGUUCGAGCGUCAUUUGUACCCUCAAGCUCUGCUUGGUGUUGGGUGUUUGUCCACUCCCCCGUGUUUGGACUCGCCUUAAAGCAAUUGGCAGCCAGUGUUUUGGUAUUGAAGCGCAGCACAUUUUGCGGUUCUAGCCUAGAAAUACUGGCAUCCAGUAAGCCUUUUUCCACUUUUGACCUCGGAUCAGGUAGGGAUACCCGCUGA
rnacentral:misc_RNA from 1 species